rnacentral:rRNA from 1 species
UACGUAGGGGGCAAGCGUUGUCCGGAUUUAUUGGGCGUAAAGAGCGUGUAGGCGGCCAGGUAGGUCAGCUGUGAAAACUCGAGGCUUAACCUCGAGACGCCGGCUGAAACCCUCUGGCUAGAGUCCGGAAGAGGAGAGCGGAAUUCCUGGUGUAGCGGUGAAAUGCGCAGAUAUCAGGAGGAACACCGAUUGCGAAGGCAGCUCGCUGGAACGUUACUGACGCUGAGACGCGAAAGCGUGGGGAGCAAACAGG